AUUGAACGCUGGCGGCGUGCUUAACACAUGCAAGUCGAGCGGUAACAGGCGUAGCAAUACGUGCUGACGAGCGGCGAACGGGUGAGUAAUGCUUCGGAAUCUUCCUUGUAGUGGGGAAUAACCUGGGGAAACUCAGGCUAAUGCCGCAUACGAACCACGGUUGAAAGCGGGGGAUCGCAAGACCUCGCGCUAUAAGAUGAGCCGAAGUCGGGUUAGCUAGUUGGUGGGGGAAAGGCCUACCAAGGCGACGAUCCGUAGCUGGUCUGAGAGGACGACCAGCCAAACUGGGACUGAGACACGGCCCAGACUCCUACGGGAGGCAGCAGUGGGGAAUAUUGGACAAUGGGGGCAACCCUGAUCCAGCGAAGCCGCGUGUGUGAAGAAGGCCUGCGGGUUGUAAAGCACUUUUAGUGGGGACAAAAAGCCGAGGGCUAAUACCUUUCGGUCUUGAUUUAACCCAAAGAAAAAGCACCGGCUAACUCUGUGCCAGCCGCCGCAGUAAGAC
rnacentral:rRNA from 1 species